GUGAGCGCAGAGAAGCAUGUGGGCAGGGUGGGAGCGAUUUCAGCGACAGAAAGAAAGACAGAAGCCCCAGCGUGGGUCGCCUGCGUGCCUGGAUACGCGCUGGAAAUGCUCACCUAGAAAUACGGUUCUCGAUUCCCAUUCAAGCUUCAAUCGCCUUGGGAGCAGCAACCCCAGAUGCUAAUGCCAGUCACGUUUCAACAUUUGGAUCAAGACUGUGAACCGGGGUUAGGGACUGGGGAGGAGGGAAGAGAGGGAGGGAAAGGGAGGGAAUGGAAUUCAGACCAAGGAGAGGAUUGUGCAAUUACAAAGGGUUAGUCUGGGGCUAGGGGAUUGUGUAUCAUCUGAAAAUGGCCAAGCUCCCUGGACCGGGUGGAUCCAACAAUUUGGAGCUGAUUAAAUGUAUUUUGAUAUCUUGCUGUGGAUAACUAACAAGCUACUUGCCAAGGCUGUGAACUCUGGCUCCUGUGACCUUUGAUUCCGACAAAGCUGAUUCUGGAUAAAUUUUGAAAAUUGUGAAAUCAGGGAAGUUCUGAAUAUUUACAUUCCGCCCCAGAAGACAUGCGUGUGCGAGGAGCCAUCUAUAACCAGUCACCGCUUCCCACCAGGAAGUCUUGCUCCGGUUCAGGGGUUGUAGCGCUGUCUCCGCACUGACGCUGACUGCCUGGCAUUGAAGCAACGGGGCGAGACUCUGGAAAGGCGGAGAGGAAACGCCUUCUUGUUUCUAAAACGCGCUGGAGUCAGACACAGAGACUUGCUAAUUUUUCAUCAAUUAGUCGUGAGCGUGGGUCUUACGCACAGUCUACGAAGAGAGGUCAGAAACACCAGAGGAGAGAGAGAGUCAGGUCCCCGCUCUUGGGUCCAUUAAGGUCUCAUCGAGGCUCCCCAUUUUUAUCGAGAGCAGUGCAAGACAGGAGGUGUGUGCAGCCAGCGAGCGCGGGCAGGGACUAAAAGCUUGUGGAAGCCUCCUGAGCAGAGGAGCCCGAAUCCCCGGACAGCUGUAGUUAGUGCCUCUCUUGUCGGUAGACCGCACGCUGGAGUGAUCCUGGCCGUGCUGCCCCCGUGCCUGCAGGCGCAGUCUUCCCCAGGCGGUUACAGUUCCCACUGCCAGUUCUGGAGCCCAACGUCUGUGUGAGCUUGGGCCGGUUACUUACUGUCUCUGUGCCUCAGCUUCCUCACGGUUAAAAACUACAGAUGAGCAUACCAACCUUGUAGCCUUACCGUGAGGAAUAAAGGAGACCAUGUGUGGUAAAGGGAUGAUGGUGGCUUGGCAAUCAAUCAGCAUAGCUUCAUUGUUUCAUGGAAAAAGAGGAUUACUGAUACUCCUACACCUGUGCCACCCAAUGCAAUGCCCACCUGUGGCCACUGAGGGCUUGCAAAGUGGCUACAAUGAAUGGAGAACUACUGUGAAAUUCAUAGUGGAUUUUGAAGGUUGAGCAUUUUAAAAACCAACUAUUACUGAUAUAUCAAUAUGAUAAUAUUAUGGAUGUAUUGGGCUAAAUAAAAUAUAUUAUUGAAAUAUAUUAAAUAUUUAAAUUAGUAUAACUGUAUUAAAUAAUUGUUAUAAUCUAACCUAUUUUUUAUACAGAGAUCAUCAUACUUCUUUUUUUAGUGAUUUAUUUAUUUAUUUGAAAGGCAGAGUGAUCUUCUGUCUUCUGGUUCCCUCCCCAAAUGAAGGAGACAAAGAGGCCUAGGAUGGAUGGGGAGCAGAGGAGGCCAGGCAGACACAGUGGCGGGGGCAGAGGGAGGGUGAUCACUCUCCGAUGUGCCUGGCCUGGGCCAAGGCUGCCACAUAAAUUCUCUUACUCACCUGUGCCGCUCCUUCACAGCAGAAGUUGUUUUUUAUUUUAUUUUAUAAUUAUUUAAACAUUUUUAGAUUUUUUUUAAUGUGUGAUUGCUUAGUAUCAUUUACUUCUCUAAAGUUUAGCAUUUUCUUCUUGGUUGAUGCACCAUAAUCGUAUGUAUUUAUGUGGUGCAGCACGAUGCUCUGAUACAAGUAAUGUCUCAUCAGGGUAAUGAUCAUUAGGUCACCGGCCUUCGGCACCAACCACUUCUCCACGAGGAGAAUACUACUUUGGUUUUCAGGACAGUCUUUGAAGUGAGCCACGCUCCUCUUGCCAGGACUUUCAUGCAUCAACUAAAAAGUACGCUCAGGCUAGAACGCCAUGCUGGGGCCCGGAUCUCAGGCAGCAGAGCCCGCAGCACCUGCUCGUUGCACUCCAGGGACACACGGGGCGAGCAGGAGGGAAGCUGAGCACAAAGGAUUCUGCAGCGGUUGGGCCUCGAGGAGGCAGCGGGAGCGGGGGCCUCCUGGGGCAGGAGGGAUGGCUCAUGCUUGGUGAGACUCAGCUUGGUCAGACCCCAAGUGAAACAUCAGGAAACCCGCUCACUACUUCUGGUGCUCAUCCGGCAUCGCGUGUAUGUGCCUGCGGCCGUCACUACCAUGGGGAUGGAGGUGGGGCUGUCCUUGGCUAUGUCUGUGUCACCACCAGCCUGGUAGGCAGCGGGACGGGUGAGACACACAACAGAGACCAGGCACGGGAGAUGGUGAUGGGACAGUGCAGAGGACUGUGCAUACAUAUGCAGCUAACAACAGAGCUUCAAAUACAGGAGGGACUGGUACAAGGGAAGGGGAAACAGGCAGAUCCACAGUCGGUUGGAAACCUCAUUAUGUUUUAUUUUCCUCUGCAGCACCGGAAGACUAGAAUAUAAUUCAUCUUCUCUCGCCUUCUUGAAAAAUUGGAAGACUAAUAGUUUCCUGCCCUUAAGAGAAGGAAAUCAACUUUUUUUUCCAUUGAUGAUUAUUCUGACUUAGAAACUAAUGGGCCAUGGAGAAUGGCUGUAAAAGCAAAAGAGGCAGGAGAGAGUACCUUGGGGCACAAACAGGGGGAGGGACCCCGAGGAGCAGACGUCAAAGAUGGGAGUGGACGGGAGUCUCACAGAAUUGCACACGGCUCAGGCAGAGUUCAGGGGACAGCGAGGCCUCACCUGGGUACAUGGUGCCCGGGGGAGGUGGAUCUCCUGGCACUGAGAGCCUCAGCCCUUCUGAAGCUUUCCCUAGUACCACUAGUGAAUGGAUGCCACUGGGCCCAAAGGCAGGGUGUGAGCUGUGACACCAGGUGUGAAUGGUGAGAACAGGUGUGAACUGUGACACCAGGUGAGAACGGUGAGAACAGGGGUGAACAGUGACAACAGGUAUGAAUUGUGUGGUGACAACAGGUGUGAACAUGACAACAGGUGUGAAUUGUGUGGUGACACCAGGUGUGAACGGUGACAACAGGUGUCUAGGCAGUUAUUAACAGUCACAAAAACAGUUUGAAAAUGAAAGGAAGGGCCUCCAGGUGUCUUGGUGCAGCCCGACUCCAGGACUCAUUAAAUCUUUUGGAAAGUGUGGGGAGAGAGACGGUGAUAGUGAGAUUGGAUCAUCAGCUUGGUUCAUGGAAGUUUAGAGUUGAGUUAAUUUAUUUCUUCCUCCCUAUACGUACAACAGUAUGACUUUUAUCUUUAUCUUGUUCUCCUCAUCCCCUCUCUCCUCCCUCUCCCUCUCUUCUUUUUUUUUCUCCCCCCUCCCCAUUAUCACUCUUUCUUUCUUCUCUCUCCUUAGGAGUCGACUGGACUUCCGGUGUGGUGCUGAUGGGAGUGGUGAAGAAGCUAGCUUUGUCUUGUGUUGGAUCUAGAGGGACGAUCUUCAUUCUUCCACCAUAAAAAUGACCAUUCCUAUUGGGCGUUUGUACAUGCCCUUUACCAGGGUAAGGCAAUUCCUGUUGCUCGCAGUCAGCUGAGAGUUGUUACCGUGAGUGGAUGCUGAAUUUUGUCAAAUGUGUAUUCUGCAUCUAUUCAGCUAACCACAUGGUCUUCUUCUUGAGGCUGUUAAUACUGUGGAACACAUUGAUCGAUUUUCAAUUUGUGAACCAACCAAGAAUUCCUGGAAUAAACCUCUGUUGCUCGUGGUAUAUUAUCCUUUUUUUUUUUUUUUUUUUUUUUUUUUUGACAGGCAGAGUGGACAGUGAGAGAGAGAGAGACAGAGAGAAAGGUCUUCCUUUGCCGUCGGUUCACUCUCCAACGGCCGCCACGGCCAGCGCGCUGCGACCGGCGCACCGCACUGAUCCAAUGGCAGGAGCCAGGUGCUUAUCCUGGUCUCCCAUGGGGUGCAGGGCCCAAGCACUUGGGCCAUCCUCCACUGCACUCCCUGGCCACAGCAGAGAGCUGGCCUGGAAGAGGGGCAACCGGGACAGAAUCCGGUGCCCUGACCGGGGCUAGAACCUGGUGGCCGGCGCCGCAAGGCAGAGGAUUAGCCUAGUGAGCCACGGCGCUGGCGUAUCCUUUUUAUAUAUUGACAGAUUCUAUUUGUUGGUAUUUUGUUACAUCUAUGGUACUAUGUAGACCCCUAUUCUGCAGGGGAUACAAGCUAAGAUCCCCAACGGAUGCUUGAAACCAUAGUUAGGGUAGUUCAGAACCAUAGUUAGGGUAGUUCAGAACCCCAGCUAUACCACAUAUUUUUCAUAUAUAUAAGUACAUCCAUACCCACAAGAGGUUUAAUUGGUAAGUUAGACACCAUAAAAGGUCGCCAAUAAUAAAAUAGAAUAACUAUAACAAUGAACUAUAGCGAAAGCCAUGUGUGUGUGGUCUCUAUAAACCAACCUUAUUGUCCUUUCACACUUUACAGCCAUGGUUAAGUAAGGGUGACUUGCACACAAGCGCUGUGGUACCACAACAGCUGAACUGGCAAGCAACGUGACCGAGUGGCUAGCGGGCAGGCACAUGUACAGCAGGGGAGAAGCCAGACGAAGGGACGGAUCGUGGCCUGGCUGUGACACAGGGGAAGGUGCGGGAUUUCCUCAUGCUGCUUAGUGCCAUGUGCAAGUUCAAAUGUGCUUGUUCUCUAUUUCUGGAAUUUUUCAGUGACUGUUCUCAGACUGUGGUUAGCCGCGCAAGUAACUGAAACUGAGUUAGCAAAACCACAGAUAAGGGGGAUUACCGUAUUUGCAUCUGGGUUCCUGACGGAAAAUGGUCUAUGUUGCUUUUCUUACAAUAUCUUUUGUGUUGGCAUUACAGUAAUGCUGACCCCAUAAAAUGAAUUGGGAAGAGACCCUACCUCUUCUCUUUUCUGGACAAGAUUGUGCAAAAUUGAGUGACUUUGGGUGAUGCGUGUCUCCAAGGAAUUCCUCCAUUGUAUUGAUGGCUGACAUCAAGGAAAUAAAGUUGAGCGCAGAAUUCCUGUUUAAGCUUCUAACAACACUGGUGUCCGGCGUGAUGUCGCCUCUUCAUUUGUGGUUCUGGGCUUUGGUGUCUUCUCGCUCUCAGUUUCCCUGCUCAGUCUCGUGGCAGUUUUAUUAAUUUUGCCAAAGGAACAGAUUUGGUUUCACUGUGUUCCUCUCUCGCUUCUGUUUUCGUUUUCAUUGUUUCUGCUGGCAUCGUCACCGUUUCCUUCUUUCACUCCAUCUGUGGCUAUUUUGUGCUUCUCUUCCAGUUCCUUAACAUGGAGUUCAGAUGAGGGAGUUCAGGUCUAUGUAUUUUCUAGUUUAUGCAUUUAAUUUUUAUAAACUUUCCUGUAAGUCCUGUUUUAGCUGUGCGCUGCAUUUUGAUAUUACAAUUUCACUUUUAUUCCAUUCAAACUAUACGUUUGAUUUGCAUGGACAUUUUCUAUUUGACUCAUGGGUUAUUGAAAAAUACACUUUUUACUGCGAAGGUUUUGAGGGUUUUCCCUAUAACUUCUGUUACUGAUGUCUAAUUUAAUUCUGCUAUUGUCUGAGAACAUAUUUUUCAGAGUUCCUAGUAUUUUUUGAUUUGUUGGACAGUAUUUGAUGGCCCAGAAUAAGACCUGUCUUGGUGAAAGCGCCCCAUCCACUUGGAACCAUUACGCAUUCUGCCGAUCUUGAUGGAACGGUGUAGAGAAGUCGCUGGGUCAGCAUGGUUGGCAGUGGUAUUCAGGCCUUUUGUAUUCUUAUACUUGGCCCAUGUAUUAUCCUUGGGCCUCUGCACCCACGUGGGAGACCCAGAAGAAACUCCUGGCUCCUGACUUCGGAUUGGCUCAGCUCUGGCCAUUGUGGCCAUCGGGGAGUGAGCCAACGGAUGGAAGACCACUCUCUCUGUCUCUAUCUCUCUCUGUAAUUCUGUCUUUAAAAUAAAUAAAAUAAAUCUUUUCUUAAAUAUGUGGCUACUCUAGACAUACACAGCAUGCAUCUUUAAGUAAUCAAGGAGUAUCUUCAAAUAACACAUUGCCUCGGGCACAGCGUAGGGACCUCACAACAGUGUACGCACGCCCCCAUCCUCUGCUUGUGUCGUCAGAGCACUGGACUGAUACACACAGUAAGCAAAACAGACUGACACUAUUUUCGCUUUGAAUGUGCCUUUACCUCUUAGAGUAAUAAAGCUUUUUUUUUUUUAAAGAAAGAACUUUAUUUUGCCGUCAUUUUCCCAUUUCUAUUAUGCUACACUUCUUUGUGUUAAUACAGGUUCCAAUUUGGUGUCAUAUUCUUGUGCCUGAAGGACUUCUUUUAAAAUUCCUUGUGCUGGAGACCUGCUGACAAUGGAUUCUCUCAGUGAUUGUUUGAAAAAGUCUAUUUCUCUUCCAUUUUUCAAAAAGAUGUAUUUAUAUGUUUGAAAGGCAGAGCAAAAGAAAGAAGGAGAGACAGAGAGAGAGACAGACAGAAAUCUUCCAUCUACUAGUCAACACCCCAAAGUGGGCCAGAUCUGGGCCAGGGUGAAGCCAAGGAUCAGGGUCUACCUGGGUCUUGCACAUGGGUGCAGGGGCCCAAAUGUCUGAGCCGUGCUCCAUUGCUUUUCUGGGUGCAUUAGCAGGGAGUCGGAUGAGAAGCAGAGCAACCGGGUCUUGAACCAGUGCUGGUGGGAUGCUGGCAUUGCAAGCAGGGGCUUGACCUGCUGUGCCACAGCGCUGCCCCCCCCCACCCCUAUCUUUCAUUUUUUGAAGCUAUCAUCACUAGGUAUAGAUUUCUGGGUUGAUAGUUUUGUUUUUCUUUCAGCGUUUGAAAGCUGUCAAUUACUUGAGCUAUUACUGCUGUCUCUUGGGGUCUGCAUUAGCAGGAAGCUGGAGUCAAAAGCUGGAGUGGAGUGUGGAACUCAGGAGCUCCAGUGCAGGAUUCAGGCUGCUUAACCUUCAUCUUAACAGUUGGCUAAAAGCCAGCAUUUAUCAGGUGUUCUCUGAGCCUUGUAGAUCUGUAGCUUGGUAUCAGUAAUUCUAGAAAAUUCUCAGCCACUAUUUCUUCAAAUAUUUCUUCCACCCUACUCUCUUUUCGGUUUUUGUACUCUUAAUUACGUGCACGUCAGAAUAUUUGACAUUGUCCCACGGUUCGUGUAUGUUUGGUUUUCUCUUUGUGUUUCAGUUUGAGCAAUUUCUAUAGACCUUCUGUAAGUCCAUCAAUUCCUUCUUUCACUGUGUCAAGUCUGCUCGUGAGCCCAUUGGACAUAUUCUUUAUUUCUGUUACUGUGUUUUCAUUUCUAGCAUUUCCUUUGGUUUCUCUCUUACGAUUUCUGUGUUCUUGCUGAAAGGACCCUACAUCUUGCACAUUGCUCGUAUUUCUAGCCAUGGUUGUUUUCUGUUCCCUAGCAAACAGUCCAACACCUGCAUGUAUCUGAUCCUGUGGGUUCCAGUGUGUACUGCUGACAGCUGAGUCUGGGUCUGACACGUGGUUCUGGGCCUGCAAUGUUCUCCCGCCUCUCCCUCAGGGUAGAGUGUUCUUUCUCUCCCCUUACGCCAGAUCCCAAGGUUGUUUUCUUCUAAGAUUUAUUUGAAAGUCAGAGUUACACAGGGAGAGGGAGAGGGAGAGGGAGAGGGAGAGGGAGAGGGAGAGGGAGAGGGAGAGGGAGAGGGAGAGGGAGAGGGAGAGGGAGAGAGAUAUCUUUCAUCUACUGGUUCACUUCCAAAAUGGCCACAACA